GCGGAUGUAGCUCAAUUGGUAGAGUAUCGGCUUCCCAAGCCGAGGGUUGCGGGUUCGAGACCCGUCAUCCGCUCCA
rnacentral:tRNA from 1 species